GACGGAGGAUGCAAGUGUUAUCCGGAAUCACUGGGCGUAAAGCGUCUGUAGGUGGUUCGAAAAGUCCACUGUUAAAAAUUGAAGCUUAACUUCAAAGAUGCCGUGGAAACUUUCAAACUAGAGUGUGGUAGGGGUAGAGGGAAUUUCCAGUGGAGCGGUGAAAUGCGUAGAUAUUGGAAAGACCACCGAUGGCGAAGGCACUCUACUGGGCCAUUACUGACACUGAGAGACGAAGGCUAGGGGAGCAAAUGGG
rnacentral:rRNA from 1 species